rnacentral:tRNA from 1 species
AGUAAAGUAAGCUAAUUAAGCUCCCGGGCCCAUACCCCGGUAAUGCAGGUUAAAGUCCUACCUUUACAU